CAGCCGCCACGGUAAUACGGAGGGUGCAAGCGUUAAUCGGAAUUACUGGGCGUAAAGCGCACGCAGGCGGUCUGUCAAGUCAGAUGUGAAAUCCCCGGGCUUAACCUGGGAACUGCAUUUGAAACUGUCAGGCUGGAGUCUUGUAGAGGGGGGUAGAAUUCCAGGUGUAGCGGUGAAAUGCGUAGAGAUCUGGAGGAAUACCGGUGGCGAAGGCGGCCCCCUGGACAAAGACUGACGCUCAGGUGCGAAAGCGUGGGGAGCAAACAGGAUUAGAUACCCGCGUAGUCCCUGUCUCUUAUAC
rnacentral:rRNA from 1 species